AUUGAACGCUGGCGGCAGGCUUAACACAUGCAAGUCGAGCGGGGGAAGGUAGCUUGCUACUGGACCUAGCGGCGGACGGGUGAGUAAUGCUUAGGAAUCUGCCUAUUAGUGGGGGACAACAUCUCGAAAGGGAUGCUAAUACCGCAUACGUCCUACGGGAGAAAGCAGGGGAUCUUCGGACCUUGCGCUAAUAGAUGAGCCUAAGUCGGAUUAGCUAGUGGGUGGGGUAAAGGCCUACCAAGGCGACGAUCUGUAGCGGGUCUGAGAGGAUGAUCCGCCACACUGGGACUGAGACACGGCCCAGACUCCGACGGGAGGCAGCAGUGGGGAGUAGUGGACAAUGGGGGGAACCCUGAUCCAGCCAUGCCGCGUGUGUGAAGAAGGCCUUAUGGUUGUAAAGCACUUUAAGCGAGGAGGAGGCUACUUUAGUUAAUACCUAGAGAUAGUGGACGUUACUCGCAGAAUAAGCACCGGCUAACUCUGUGCCAGCAGCCGCCGUAA
rnacentral:rRNA from 1 species